CCACGGGCGGCAGCAGUGGGGAAUAUUGGACAAUGGGCGAAAGCCUGAUCCAGCCAUGCCGCGUGUGUGAAGAAGGCCUUCGGGUUGUAAAGCACUUUCAGUGGGGAAGAAAGCCUUGGGGCUAAUACCCUCGAGGAAGGACAUCACCCACAGAAGAAGCACCGGCUAACUCCGUGCCAGCAGCCGCGGUAAUACGGAGGGUGCGAGCGUUAAUCGGAAUUACUGGGCGUAAAGCGCGCGUAGGCGGUCUGAUAAGCCGGUUGUGAAAGCCCCGGGCUCAACCUGGGAACGGCAUCCGGAACUGUCAGGCUAGAGUGCAGGAGAGGAAGGUAGAAUUCCCGGUGUAGCGGUGAAAUGCGUAGAGAUCGGGAGGAAUACCAGUGGCGAAGGCGGCCUUCUGGACUGACACUGACGCUGAGGUGCGAAAGCGUGGGUAGCAAACAGGAUUAGAUACCCCUGUAGUC
rnacentral:rRNA from 1 species